UCUUCUCUCACUUUCCAUAUUCUUCUUCUUGAUUCUAGAACAUUUUCUUCUCCCUUCUCCCUCUAAGAAUUCGGUUCCCUCCCUAUACUAUCUUAACCACCAAAACUUCAUCAAAUUACCAUGCAUUCACUACAUGAAUGGUACACAUAAGUUUCUAGAGGUGGUUUAAGCAAGAAAAACACUUCAAAACUUUUCACUCCCUUCUUAAUUCCUCAAAACCGCCCCCUCCUUCAACUUUCCAAUUCUUCAUUUCUCUUUCAAAUUUCAUGGGAAACCACAUAUAAGCUUGCUUUAGGGGACUCAAGAGUGGUAUGAUUACAAGGGACUGGAAUGAAUUUUUUUGUAUAUGCUGGUUGAUGAAGUAAGAGUAUGUCACAAAUGAGUUGAGUUGUUUCGGAAAGAGCAAGACCUAUAAGCCAAGACAUAAGCUAUUUUGGAAAAUGGACUAUGGAGUUUUGGAGCUAGAAAAAGCUGCAAAUUGUGGAUAAGCUGCUUGUAAUUUCGGGACUAAUGCCAAGAUAUACAAGUUAUUAUACGACAAGAUGGUUUGUGAUGAAGAAGAAGUAGCUUGACCAUAUAGAGUACACGUCAGUGGAACUAUUUUGGAGGUAAUAGGCAAGAAAUUCUAUGAUUUGUUCAGAGAAUAUCUAUUUAUUGUAAUUUUAAUGUAUCCGACGCCAAGUUUAACACACAUGCUAGAUAUCCUAGGUGAUUUCUAGUAGGGGUGUUUCAGUUUUGUAUGGCUCAUAGUUCGCUGAUAAAUGGAAAAGUCACUCGCUGUUGCCCCCAACAACCACAGGGUAAGGCAGAAUACAUUCCAGCAGCUCUUUCUCUAUAGAAGACAGAUCUUUCAACAGCUACCACGGGUUGUACAGACGAUGAAUUCUGGACCCCAAGGAAGAGAACAGCAGUAUACAUCGAACCGAGGGCAUUAAACAGAUCUUGUCUAUUUGAGCUGGAAAUCAACAAAAGAAGUUAACAUUCAAGUUGGAAAGAAAAUCGGACUAACUAUAAUAUUUCUUAUUUUUCACAUAAUGAAGUUUCACUUACUAUUUCCUUCCAAGGUUCCAGAACAUUGUUCCAAACAUCAAUGCUAUGAAAGUAGUGAAGAAAAACCUCACAGCAGUGUAUGGCGGAUUGCGCCAGUAUGACCAAUGUUGUUUCCAUAGGCAAGCCAAGCAUUGGAUCCAAAAUGAUUGUGAGUAUUGGGCGGAGAAAUGAAGAUCCUUAGAACCAGGAGCAGGUUUGCCUAAUUCUACUAUAAGUUGCUUGUUUCUCCUAAAGAAUAGUUUAUAUCAGUGUAAGUAUAUAUUGUUACAAUAUUAUUAUUUAUACUAUAAGUUCUUAAAUUAGCUUACCUGUACAACUCAGAAUUUUUGUAUAUAUCAUGAAAAUCAACACCUAAAGUA